rnacentral:tRNA from 1 species
AGCGGGGUAGGGUAACAGUAAUCCACCAGGCUCAUAACCUGGGAAUUGUCGGUGCAAUUCCGGCCCCCGCAA